GACGAACGCUGGCGGCGUGCUUAACACAUGCAAGUCGAACGGAAAGGCCCUGCUUUUGUGGGGUGCCCGAGUGGCGAACGGGUGAGUAACACGUGAGUAACCUGCCCUUGACUUUGGGAUAACUUCAGGAAACUGGGGCUAAUACCGGAUAGGAGCUCCUGCUGCAUGGUGGGGGUUGGAAAGUUUCGGCGGUUGGGGAUGGACUCGCGGCUUAUCAGCUUGUUGGUGGGGGAGUGGCUUACCAAGGGUUUGACGGAUAGCCGGCCUGGGAGGGUGAACAGGCACAAUGGGACUGAGGGACGGACCAGAGGGCAACGGUAGGCAGCAGUGGAGAAUAUGGCACAAUGGGCGGGAGCCUGAUGCGGCAACGCCGCGUGCGUGAUGACGGCCUUGUGGGUGUAAACCGCAGUCGCCUGAGACGAAGCGUGAGUGACGGUAAUGGGUAAAGAAGCACCGGCUAACUACGUG
rnacentral:rRNA from 1 species